rfam:Picea glauca, whole genome shotgun sequence.
AGAGGGGUAGAGUAAUUGGUCGACUCGUCAGGCCUUAAUAUUAUUAUGGGGCCUGAAGACUGCAGGUUCGAACCCUGCCCCCACCU